rnacentral:rRNA from 1 species
AAUCAACGCUGGCGGCGUGCCUAACACAUGCAAGUCGCACGAGAAAGCGGGAGCAAUCCUGUGAGUACAGUGGCGUACGGGUGAGUAACACGUGACUACCUACCCUCGAGUGGGGAAUAACCUCGGGAAACCGGGGCUAAUACCGCAUAACACCGGGAGGUCAAAGCCGAAAGGCGCUUGGGGAGGGGGUCGCGGCUGAUUAGCUAGUUGGUGGGGUAAUGGCCCACCAAGGCGACGAUCAGUAGCCGGCCUGAGAGGGCGCACGGCCACACUGGAACUGAAACACGGUCCAGACUCCUACGGGAGGCAGCAGUGGGGAAUUUUGCGCAAUGGGGGAAACCCUGACGCAGCAACGCCGCGUGGAGGAUGAAGUCCCUUGGGACGUAAACUCCUUUCGACCGGGACGAUAAUGACGGUACCGGUGGAAGAAGCCCCGGCUAACUCCGUGCCAGCCGCCGCAGUAAUAC